rnacentral:misc_RNA from 1 species
UUUGGUUAUUAGUUUUCGCAGCCUGACAGAAGGAAAAGGCAAGUGGAAGAAAUGAGAUGUUUAAAAAGUGUAUAAAAUAUCAGCACACUGGAAGAGAAUCGGAUUCUGGGGGCUUGGUGGCGCUGCAAAAGCAAGCUCGAGCUGCAUUUUAGCACCACCCAACAGGCCAAGUGACCAUCACCAUUAACAACUUCGCCGACUCAUUGGUUUCUUGACCGCCACUACCACCAUAAUCGAAUCCGUAUCCAACAUGGAGCAAUUUCUUUGUGAUCGGUUGCUCGACCUGACGCAACCCAUCUCCGAGCGGUUUAGAGCGCUCUUCUCACUCCGCAACCUCAAAGGCUCCGCUCCCCGUAACGCCCUUAUUCACGCAACAAGGGACUGUUCGAAUUUGCUGGCACAUGAGGCAGCAUUUGCAUUGGGUCAAAUGCAAGAUUUUGAAGCUAUUCCUGCUUUAGCAGCUGUUCUAAAUGAUCUUUCUUUGCAUGCUAUUGUUCGCCAUGAGGCUGCAGAAGCUCUUGGUGCCAUUGGUUUAGAGAGCAAUAUUCCUCUUUUGAAGAAUAGUUUGAGUGUAGAUCCAGCUCAGGAAGUUAGAGAAACUUGUGAACUGGCUCUCAAGCGAAUUGAGGAAAUGAAUGCUACAGGCACUUGUGAAGAAUCGUCUACAAUCGAAAAAUCACCCUUUAUGUCAGUUGACCCAGCUGCUCCAGCUUCUUCUUGUUCUUCUGUUGAUAUGCUGAGGGAAGGUCUUUUGGAUGAAGAAAAGGGCAUGUAUGAGCGCUAUGCUGCUCUUUUUGCUCUUAGAAAUCAUGGCGGGGAAGAAGCUGUUUCUGCUAUAGUUGAAUCCCUGAGAACGAAAAGUGCUUUGCUUAAGCACGAGGUUGCUUAUGUUUUGGGCCAAUUGCAGAACAAAGCUGCUUCAGCUGCACUUAGCAGAAUACUUAAGGAUGUAAAUGAGCAUCCAAUGGUUAGACAUGAGGCUGCUGAAGCUCUUGGUUCUAUCGCUGGUUUGUCAGUUGUUUUAUUUCUACUGUGUUUAUGAUUCUUCUGAUUGUGAAUUAUGAUUGAUUGAACCCUGGUUAGAAAAUGUUAUUGGUUAGUUGAAUUUCUUUUUUCUGCAGUAUUAAAACUAUUAAAAUUAUUGUGGAAGACAUCCUAGACACAAAAAAUGAGAAAGUAUGAAAUAUCCCCUUCUUGUUGGCUAGACUAUCAUUAUGAAGUUUCUGAAACAUUCCAACAGUAAUAACUGUAACUUAAUAGUGAAUAUAGAUGGGUAAGCUGCUAAGGUCAUCAUGUAGUUUCAGAUUGUUGAAUCAAAUCCUCAUGAUUAUCUAUGGGAAACUGUUGUUUUGAAUAAUCUUAUAAUCUUAUGAUCUUAUAAUAAAAUAGUGGAGUAAAAGAAAGGGUGCCUUAGGUUUUAUAUGUUAAUUAUGAGAAUAUUUGCAGUUUUCUAUGAUUUUUGGAACUAAUACUUUGAAAGUUAAAGUUUGGGCAGGAACUGUUGGCAGAUGAAUCUACUUUCCUUUUUUUUCCAUUAUAACAUGUUAUUGCUUGAUCAUCAGCUCAUCACUGAAUUUUGUUAGCCGAACUUUGUGGGUUGUAUAAAAUACUCCAGCUGUGUUUUGCAGCUUUUUGAAUCUCGAUCGUGUUGGGUUUAAUUUAAUAGGUUUUUGCUUUGGUACUAGAUGAACAAAGUAUUGCACUCCUCAAGGAAUUUUCGAAGGAUCCUGAGCCUAUUGUAUCACAAAGCUGUGAAGUUGCUCUGAGCAUGGUAGAAUAUGAAAGAUCAGGAAAAUCAUUUGAGUACUUGUUUAUGCAAGAUCCUUUAGCGCAAGCGUAGAUAAAUCAUAUAUCUUCUGGAAACUCCCUUACUAAUCAAUGUGCCAGUUUCAAUUCAGCUAAUGGACACAUUCUUUGUGAAGGCAGUGUUUGUGGGAAAGAGUGUCAUGAGAAUAACAGAAUAGAACUAUGAGAAAAUCAUAUACAAUAAGAACUGGACGUUUUCGAGUUGUGUUGAUUAUUCUUGUAAUGAUUGUAUUCUGUUGGUGACGUGGGAUCUAAUCACAGUAAAUUUUGGUAUGACUAAAAUG